CCUGGCCUUGACAUACUAAGAACUUUCCAGAGAUGGAUUGGUGGGCCUUCGGGAACUUAGAUACAGGUGCUGCAUGGCUGUCGUCAGCUCGUGUCGUGAGAUGUUGGGUUAAGUCCGCAACGAGCGCAACCCUUUUCCUUAUUUGCCAGCGGGUAAUGCCGGGAACUUUAAGGAUACUGCCAGUGACAAACUGGAGGAAGGCGGGGACGACGUCAAGUCAUCAUGGCCCUUACGGCCAGGGCUACACACGUGCUACAAUGGUCGGUACAAAGGGUUGCUACCUCGCGAGAGGAUGCUAAUCUCAAAAAGCCGAUCGUAGUCCGGAUCGCAGUCUGCAACUCGACUGCGUGAAGUCGGAAUCGCUAGUAAUCGCGGAUCAGAAUGCCGCGGUGAAUACGUUCCCGGGCCUUGUACACACCGCCCGUCACACCAUGGGAGUUUGUUGCACCAGAAGUAGGUAGUCUAACCGCAAGGAGGACGCUUACCACGGUGUGGCCGAUGACUGGGGUGAAGUCGUAACAAGGUAGGCGUAGAUGA
rnacentral:rRNA from 1 species